rnacentral:tRNA from 1 species
GACAUGUGCCCGAAAAAUAAGGAUUACCUUGAUAGGGUAACUAAUAGAGGUUCAAACCCUCUCAU